AACGGCUACCACAUCCAAGGAAGGCAGCAGGCGCGCAAAUUACCCAAUCCCGACACGGGGAGGUAGUGACAAUAAAUACUGAUACAGGGCUCUUUUGGGUCUUGUAAUUGGAAUGAGUACAAUUUAAAUCCCUUAACGAGGAACAAUUGGAGGGCAAGUCUGGUGCCAGCAGCCGCGGUAAUUCCAGCUCCAAUAGCGUAUAUUAAAGUUGUUGCAGUUAAAAAGCUCGUAGUUGAACCUUGGGCCUGGUUGGUCGGUCCGCCUCGCGGCGUGCACUGAUCCGACCGGGCCUUUCCUUCUGGGGAACCGCAUGUCCUUCAUUGGGUGUGUCGGGGAUCCAGGACUUUUACUUUGAAAAAAUUAGAGUGUUCAAAGCAGGCCUAUGCUCGAAUACAUUAGCAUGGAAUAAUAGAAUAGGACGUGUGGUUCUAUUUUGUUGGUUUCUAGGACCGCCGUAAUGAUUAAUAGGGAUAGUCGGGGGCAUCAGUAUUCCGUUGUCAGAGGUGAAAUUCUUGGAUUUACGGAAGACUAACUACUGCGAAAGCAUUUGCCAAGGAUGUUUUCAUUAAUCAGUGAACGAAAGUUAGGGGAUCGAAGACGAUCAGAUACCGUCGUAGUCUUAACCAUAAACUAUGCCGACUAGGGAUCGGGCGAUGUUAUCUUUUUGACUCGCUCGGCACCUUACGAGAAAUCAAAGUUUUUGGGUUCUGGGGGGAGUAUGGUCGCAAGGCUGAAA
rnacentral:rRNA from 1 species